rnacentral:tRNA from 1 species
GCCUGGGUGGCUCAGUUGGUUGAGCAACUGCCUUCAGCUCAGGUCAUGAAACCUGGAGUCUCGGGAUCGAGUCCUGCACCAGGCU